rnacentral:lncRNA from 11 species
AUUCAAACCGAUGCCUGCUCCUGAUUGGUUUAGAAAAGUCUCUCUUGGUCUAUAUACAUGUAUAUUGGCCAUUAUUUAAGUUCGAUGCAAAUGUGGUUGAUUUUUUUUUUUUUGCAAUAAAUUUUUAUUCAAGCUUUUCCAAAUCAACAAUGACACAUGGACAUAUAAUUAAAUAAAAUGCAAAAAUUGAGAGCAAGUUUGAAAAUGUGGAAAAGAAAGAAAAGAGAGAAGAGAAAAAGAAAGUGGGAAAGGAAGAAAAGAAAAGAAAAACCAAAGGAAAUAACAUUAAAAUCGACUUCCAUCUAUUGCAUGAUGUAUCUACGGGUUAAUGUGAAUAUUUUGACUCAUCUCUUAUGGGAAAAGGAACUAUUGUCUUCUCUGAGAAGAAUGGUGAAAGGCAAGAACAUAGUCCUAAAAGAAGCAACCAACCCCUUUAAUCUUUCCUCUGUGGGGAUCCUUUUGGCUUUUUUGAAUUCCUGGGCAGGUAAAUGUCUCUCCCCCUCCCCAAGGGAGCUUGUUUUUUUUUUACCUCAAUUUAUCCAUGGGUCAUAUUAAAAUAUCUAUUAUUUUGGUCCUUGAUGGGUACAUG